CCUCUCUUCUUGUCUUGCUGUACCACGGCAAACGCGAGAAAAAUAGCAAGGCGCUGAGGUUCACAACCCCACCCGUUGUCUUCGAAAAUAAGACACCUGCAGGCGAGUGUUUUUGCACACGAAACACCCGCCACGUUUCUUGUUCUCUCGUAUCUGUCACUUUUGUUUCCAUCUCGUGCUUCAGUUUGCGUGUUCAUCCGUCGGUAAAGAAAUCCUUUCUUCUGCGUUUCGAGGCAGGGGUCGGUGUCCCGGUUGGAGGCGUGGCAGGCGCGUGUACACCCGAAACAGUACACACUUUCGUGCUGUUUGUUUCGGUCCUUCGUGGACGCGUUCAUGUCUGUGCUCUCAACCGGACGCCCCGCCGAGAAAACGGAAGAAAGCAACCGGACUCUCGAUGUAAAAAAACCCUAAACGGAGACAGCCUGAAGGCGGGGCAUCGUGCCUUCUCUGUGCACAGAGAAACCUGUGCAGUCGAGAAGUUGCGGCGAUCUCCUGCGUUUUCUUCUGGAAAUCUUCUGGCGAAGUCACGUUUUGACUGCUGAAAAGCUCCGUGACGGCCCCUCCUUCCACCGAAAUCCUUUCUGUGGAAGUUCUCGAGGGGAGGAAGGUUUUCCUACGAAGGAACGCAAAGUCUUCACGGCACACCGACCGAGAGAAGACGUGUGCUCUCUCCAUUCACAUCAAACUCCGUGGUCUUCGACGCCCUUAGUUUCCGGCUGAAGGAUCGGAUUUCUUUUGGAUCGUUUUCCCUGUUCAUUCUGCUUUCGAGAGAAGUGCGCCGAGGAAUGAAUCUGUCUCUCGUGGGGAUUGUCAGCUGUUUGCGUCUGUGGUCGGGGUCUGUACAUUGUUUCGUGUCCGUUUUGUUUCCGGC
rnacentral:lncRNA from 1 species